rnacentral:rRNA from 1 species
GAUGAACGCUAGCUACAGGCUUAACACAUGCAAGUCGAGGGACCGGCGCACGGGUGAGUAACACGUAUCCAACCUGCCCUUUACUCGGGGAUAGCCUUUCGAAAGAUAGAUUAAUACCCGAUGUAAAGGAUGGGGAUGCGUUCCAUUAGGUUGUUGGUGAGGUAACGGCUCACCAAGCCUUCGUUGGAUAGGGGUUCUGAGAGGAAGGUCCCCCAGAUUGGAACGGAGACACGGUCCAAACGCCUACGGGAGGCAGCAGUGAUGAAUAUUGUUCAAUGGGCGUUAGCCUGAACCAGCCGAGUAGCGUUAAGGAUGAAGGCUUAUGGGUCGUAAACUUCUUUGAGAUAAGAAUAUGUAUUUUAUGAAUAAGGAUCGGCUAACUCCGUGCCAGCAGCCGCGGUAAUAC